rnacentral:tRNA from 1 species
GGUGCGGUAGUUCAGAUUGGUAGAAUAUUGGCCUGUCACGCCAGGGGUCGCGGGUUCGAAUCCCGUCCGCACCG